GAUGAAGAACGUAGCGAAAUGCGAUACGUAAUGUGAAUUGCAGAAUUCAGUGAAUCAUCGAAUCUUUGAACGCACAUUGCGCCCGCCAGUAUUCUGGCGGGCAUGCCUGUUCGAGCGUCAUUACAACCCUCAGGCCCCCGGGCCUGGCGUUGGGGAUCGGCGGAGCCCCCCGUGGGCACACGCCGUCCCCCAAAUGCAGUGGCGGUCCCGCCGCAGCUUCCAUCGCGUAGUAGCUAACACCUCGCGACUGGAGAGCGGCGCGGCCACGCCGUAAAACACCCAACUCUUCUGAAGUUGACCUCGAAUCAGGUAGGAAUACCCGCUGAACUUAAGCAUAUCAAUAAGCGGAGGA
rnacentral:misc_RNA from 1 species